rnacentral:rRNA from 1 species
AAUGAACGUUGGCGACGUGCCUAACACAUGCAAGUCGAGCGAGAAAAUUCCUUCGGGGAUGAGUAAAGCGGCGGACGGGUGAGUAAUGCGUGAGAAUCUGCCUUUUAGUGAAGGAUACCCUCGAGAAAUUGAGGUUAAUACUGCAUACGUCUCGAAAGAGAGAAAGAUGGCCUUGUUGCUGUCGCUAAAAGAUGAGCUUGCGUUCUAUUAGCUUGUUGGUGAGGUAAAGGCCUACCAAGGCGAUGAUGGAUAGCCGGCCUGAGAGGGUGAACGGCCACACUGGAACUUAGACACGGUCCAGACUCCUACGGGAGGCAGCAGUGAGGAAUAUUGCACAAUGGGCGAAAGCCUGAUGCAGCGACGUCGCGUGGAGGAUGAAGGUUUUCGGAUCGUAAACUCCUGUUAAGUGGGAAGAAAGACUUGUUUUUAAUAGAAACGAGGGAUGACGGUACCACUAGAGAAAGCACCGGCUAACUUCGUG